CAACAGUGUAGCAGUAGUACAUAGUAAAAACACGGCCAUUCAAGAGUUAGAACAAUACAGACACAGGUGGUUGGCUAAUGACACACCCAGCGCUGGCUCAUGUGGCUCUAAAAUAUCUGACCUGUAACCCAAACAGCUGUUUCCUCCAAGCAGCUUUUCAGUAUAGGAACAGAUGUUGUGUCGAAAAUAC